ensembl:lncRNA
GUUGAUGACGGCAUUCUGGAGCAGGACCAGAAAGACCACGACCAAGCAGCCUUGAGAUCUUAGGCAGCAUCUCCCGCAGGUCCCUCUCUAUCUCCCCACACAUCCACCAACCACUGGAACACAUCUCCAAAGUUCUGCCGGGCCAGCUCAGCUUCCCCUCAGAAGAAGUGCCGCCACCUGCCAGAUGAAGGAGCCUUUUGAGAGGCAGCUGGCAUCGUGAUUGGACUGUACUUUGGUCUGUUCCAAUCCAGCUUCAGCUCCAGAGACGGCAGGCGGGACGAGUCAACGGAGGCCGGGUGGACGAAGACCAAAGAACUACAGACUCUUCACAACCUGCUCAAACUCUUGGUACAGGACCUCACCACACGGAUCAAGAAGGAUUCUGUCUCAUUUCUACUCUGAAGAUCACCUUCUCCUGCUCAAACUGCUGACAAAUGUUUCUGCUGCUCUAAAGUCUGGUCUCCAGAACUUCCUAGAAACUCUCAAAGUCUCUUCUGCUGCAGAAAACCUCACUAAACCCCAUGGAGGGGCCUCAAGAUAGUCGUCCAAAUGAAACCGUACAAAAACCAAACUAGCACAACCCAAACGCUAAAGUCUCCUGCAGCCUACCAGAGAACCUCUGAGAACAGAGAAUCAGGAUAGGAACUCUUACCUUCUGGACAACCAACGUUGGUUCUCAAACAAGAAUACAGAAUGUGUCUGAC